rnacentral:tRNA from 1 species
AUGACUGUGGUGUAUAACAACACAUUGACCUUUCAUGUCAAAAUAAUAUAAAUAAAUAUCAGCCAUU